rnacentral:rRNA from 1 species
GAGCGCCGUAGCAAUACGGAGCGGCAGACGGGAGAGUAACACGUGGGAACGUACCCUUUGGUUCGGAACAACCCCAGGGAAACUUGGGCUAAUACCGGAUAAGCCCUUACGGGGAAAGAUUCAUCGCCGAAGGAUCGGCCCGCGUCUGAUUAGCUAGUUGGUGGGGUAAUGGCCCACCAAGGCGACGAUCAGUAGCUGGUCUGAGAGGAUGAUCAGCCUCACUGGGACUGAGACACGGCCCAGACUCCUACGGGAGGCAGCAGUGGGGAAUAUUGGACAAUGGGCGCAAGCCUGAUCCAGCCAUGCCGCGUGAGUGAUGAAGGCCCUAGGGUUGUAAAGCUAUUUUACCCGGGAAGAUAAUGACGGUACCGGGAGAAUAAGCCCCGGCUAACUUCGUG